GAUGGACGCUGGCGGCGUGCCUAAUACAUGCAAGUCGAGCGAACGGACGAGAAGCUUGCUUCUCUGAUGUUAGCGGCGGACGGGUGAGUAACACGUGGAUAACCUACCUAUAAGACUGGGAUAACUUCGGGAAACCGGAGCUAAUACCGGAUAAUAUUUUGAACCGCAUGGUUCAAAAGUGAAAGACGGUCUUGCUGUCACUUAUAGAUGGAUCCGCGCUGCAUUAGCUAGUUGGUAAGGUAACGGCUUACCAAGGCAACGAUGCAUAGCCGACCUGAGAGGGUGAUCGGCCACACUGGAACUGAGCCACGGUCCAGACUCCUACGGGAGGCAGCAGUAGGGAAUCUUCCGCAAUGGGCGAAAGCCUGACGGAGCAACGCCGCGUGAGUGAUGAAGGUCUUCGGAUCGUAAAACUCUGUUAUUAGGGAAGAACAUAUGUGUAAGUAACUGUGCACAUCUUGACGGUACCUAAUCAGAAAGCCACGGCUAACUACGUG
rnacentral:rRNA from 1 species